UUAAGAAUUUCUAUCAUCUACCGCCCCCCUGGUUAUCCUAGAUUAUUCCUUGAGCACUUUUCUUCCCGGCUUCCCCACUUCCUCUCAUCUAGCAUUCCUUCCCUUAUACUUGGGGAUUUCAAUAUCCCAAUCAAUAACCCCAAUUGCACUGAUGCCUCUCGUCUGCUCUCUGUAACCUCCUCCUUUGGCCUUGCGCAAUGGUCCAAUCUAGCAACCCAUAAAGCAGGAAACACUCUUGAGCUUGCCUUCACCAACCUCUGUACUGCCUCUAAUCUCUCCAAUAUUCUCUUUCCUCUAUCUGACCACGAUCUACUUACUUUUGACAUUGGCAUACCUAAGACCCAAUUGACACCACCGUCUGAACAUCACUCUCACAGAAACCUCCAAUGUCUUGACCUAGAGCAUUUCUCCACUAAUCUCCAAACUCUCCUUUUACCUAUCUCAAACCUCACCUGUCCUGUCCUAGUUCUGCAACCUCCUUCUACAAUUCCACCCUCUCCUCUCCACUAGACAUCAUGGCACCUUGUACAUUUAAACGCCGCAGGCAUCCCCAACAACAACCCUGGCACACCAAGCUUACUCGAUACCUCCAAAAAUGCUCCAGAACUGGUGAACGCUGUUGGAGAAAGUCUCACUGUGCAUCUGACUUUCUCCACUAUAAAUUUAUGCUGAGCUCAUACAGCUUGGCUCUUUCCUCUGCAAAAGUUAAUUACUUCAAUACCCUCAUAACCACACUCUCCCGCGAACCCAAACGACUAUUUCACACAUUUAACUCUUUUCUUCGCCCUGCUGUUCCUCCUCCACCUACUAACUUGACCGCCUCAGACUUUGCAACUCACUUCACUGACAAGAUCUCUACAAUCAGAGAAGAGAUAUCUCAUCUUUCUUCUUCCCCUUAUAAUACUUCCCCUAACUUCACUCCCUCUGCUGUUCUAUGUUCAUUCGCACCCGCUACAUUUGAAGAGGUUUCUGCUCUGCUCCAGUCCUCCCGCCCCACCACCUGCUCCCUAGAUCCAAUUCCAUCGCAUCUCAUCCGUACUCUGUCUUCUUCUCUUUCUCCACCUCUCACUAAAAUUCUCAAUCUCUCUCUCUCUCCUCUGGUAUAUUUCCAUUGCCCUUCAAACAUGCAACUGUAACCCCAAUUCUAAAGAAGCCCAAUCUUGACCCUAACUCCCCAUCCAACUAUCGUCCUAUCUCGCUACUGCCUUUUGCAUCCAAGAUCCUUGAAAAAUU